rnacentral:rRNA from 1 species
AGUUUGAUCAGUGGCUCAGUAUUAGAACGCUGGCGGAAUGCUUUACACAUGCAAGUCGAGGCGGCAGCGCGGGGCAACCUGGCGGCGAGCGGCGAACGGGUGAGUAAUGCAUCGGAACAUGUCCAUGUCGGUGGGGAUAGCCCGGCGAAAGCCGGAUUAAUACCGCAUACGCCCGAGAGGGGAAAGCAGGGGACCGCAAGGCCUUGCGCGAUUGGGUUGGCCGAUGUCCGAUUAGCUUGUUGGUGAGGUAAAGGCUUACCAAGGCGAUGAUCGGUAGCUGGUCUGAGAGGAUGAUCAGCCACACUGGGACUGAGACACGGCCCAGACUCCUACGGGAGGCAGCAGUGGGGAAUUUGGACAAUGGGGGCAACCCUGAUCCAGCCAUUCCGCGUGAGUGAAGAAGGCCUUCGGGUUGUAAAGCUCUUUUGUCCGGAGCGAAACGGGCGGCCCUAAUACGGUCGUCUACUGACGGUACCGGAAGAAUAAGCACCGGCUAACUACGUG